CACACGAGCUUGCUUCUUUGCUGACGAGUGGCGGACGGGUGAGUAAUGUCUGGGAAACUGCCCGAUGGAGGGGGAUAACUACUGGAAACGGUAGCUAAUACCGCAUAACGUCUUCGGACCAAAGAGGGGGACCUUCGGGCCUCUUGCCAUCGGAUGUGCCCAGAUGGGAUUAGCUAGUAGGUGGGGUAACGGCUCACCUAGGCGACGAUCCCUAGCUGGUCUGAGAGGAUGACCAGCCACACUGGAACUGAGACACGGUCCAGACUCCUACGGGAGGCAGCAGUAGGGAAUAUUGCACAAUGGGCGCAAGCCUGAUGCAGCCAUGCCGCGUGUAUGAAGAAGGCCUUCGGGUUGUAAAGUACUUUCAGCGGGGAGGAAGGGAGUGAGGUUAAUAACCUCAUUCAUUGACGUUACCCGCAGAAGAAGCACCGGCUAACUCCGUGCCAGCAGCCGCGGUAAUACGGAGGGUGCAAGCGUUAAUCGGAAUUACUGGGCGUAAAGCGCACGCAGGCGGUCUGUCA
rnacentral:rRNA from 1 species